rnacentral:lncRNA from 1 species
AACCCUCUGCUAACCAACCCCAUAUCAAAACAUCUUUUCUAAUUAGCUCAUCCUCAGGAUAUUUGCUUAGAGACAACAAGCAAGUCUUCAAAUGAAAAGGUAGAUCGUUGUAACUGAGGCUUAAUAUCUUCCGCAUGUUGUCCACAUCAAGGUUGUUCUCAAGCCCCAAACUGAUAGACUUAUUGACCUUGUCCCAUUCCUCUGAAUUCCUUGGUUUGCUAGCAAGUAGGCAUGCUGUAGUAAUGAUGGCUAGCGGUACACCACCGCAUUUCUUCAAAAUUUUCUCAGUGACACCACACAAAUCACCUGGACAGUCAUCGUUAGAGUCAAAUAUUCGUUUGCAGAACAAUUGUCUGGAAUCAUCAUUAGAUAAGGGUUUCAUUUCAUAAACACCACCACCUGCAUGUUCAGCAACGACCAUGUUUCGUGUGGUUACAAUUAUCUUGCUACCAAGUUUAGCAUCUUGCACAGCAAGUUUGAUAUCAUCCCACGCUGAUUUUUCCCAAACAUCAUCAAUCACGCACAAGAACCUAAUGAUGGUAGCAUAUAAACAUGUUAUUGAACCUAGAUAUAAAUCAUGUGAAGCCUAUCCAAAAAAGACAGGAAUAUGUAUCUUGCACAUUGAAUAUCGAAAAUGGUGUUAUCAAAUUAUUAGCAAAGUGAUUGCAAGCAAGAUUUUCUAGAAGUUACAAAGAAAAGAUUACGCUGUGAUUUAAAAUAUGAAUGAGAAAACUAAAUAGUAUGUUUGUCAAUCGACAAUGCAUGGCUAUCAAACUUCUCUAAUUCGAACCAUAGAAUUAUUAUCUUUUGUCUCAUAAGAGAGAAUCUUUGUUUUUAACUUCUAAACUCUCCUAUAAAAUAGCUUGACAAGAUCUCCAUGUUUCAAUCUUCUGUCUAAAUAUCGUGAUUUGUUCCAGUUACUACAUGUUAUUAAGUGAUUAUGUCGUAUUUUAUAUAGUGUUGACAAAUGAAUCUGAAUGUGGGAAAUGCUAGAAUGACUUACAUUGUGAAACGGAGGAAGUACAAAUUUACAUGGGCAAUUUUCCAGCAAUUUUGACACAAUAACUGCAGCUUUGUAAAAUUCUAUUCACAGUCACAAAAAAAACUUAAUUAUGCGUAAACAGAGCAAAUUUCUGAAUAAUUGUGUGUUCCAUUGGACAACCAAAACUUUAUUUACAAAUCCGGUUAUAUUAGCUAGAAUACUAUAAAAAUUUGAGACAGGACUCGUGAUUAUAUUAGAAUAUUAUAAGAACUUGAGUCAGGAUCCUUAAUCGUAACAACAAAAAGUGUCUUCAAAUAAUGAUAAAGAGUAGGUAUAACAUAGAAAUGCACCUUUUAUUCUUGAGGAAGUCUUGAAUUUCAUCAAUGAACUGCUUCGUUUCCCAUGCUUCAUUUAUGUGGGCAUACCUUUUCUUGUCAAGUUGGGGAAGAAUACUUUUGAGAAUCUUGUUUAUAUCAGGUUUCAAGGAUACCGAAACAAAAAAAUGGCAAUCAAAUUUUGCCUCAAGCUCCUGGAGUAAUGAAUUGGCAAGAGUUGUCUUUCCCAAGCCUCCGAAUCCAACAAUAGAAAUUAUAUUUGAUUGCUGCCUGGAUGAGUAGUCAUGUUCCAAGAGUCGCUUAGUUAGCUCACUUUUUGGCUCAUUAAUGCCAACGAGUUCUGUUGCCUUCCGGUACAUAGCUUCUAGGCGAGGAUCAACAUCCACAAUAGUUGGUCUGGCAGCGAUGUCGUCGACUAUGUACCUACUACGACGCUCGCUGACCUUCUUGACCUGGUCCAUGAUAUCUUUGAUGACACCGUGAAUCUGAUGGUUAGUUUUGAACUUGUUGAACAAAUUGGUGACCUUCUUGAAGCUCGUGGCAAGUUCAUGCCCCUUGCCCUUUAUCAUGAAGGUGUCGAUGGCAUCUUCGAUGUCGUAAGACAGCUCCCUGACAUCGCUGGCCCAGAUCUUCGCCAGCUUAUCAAGUUUAUCUGCAGGCGUCUCAGCCACCUUGUGGAGGGCUGCGGUCAUACUUGUCAGCUCUUUCUCAAGUUCUUCGAUCUCUCCCUUGACACCCUUUUGUAGCUUGUAUUCGCCUACCAGCAGCUCCCCAAGCUUGGGGAGUAGGGUGUUCAUUGCCCCUGUGGCAACGUUCAUAUUGACCUAUCUAUCUUCAAGUGAGCUCUUGCUCGAAAAUCUGGGGUUGAAUGCCUGCACGGGUCACACAGCUGCACUUAAUCGAUCAGGAAUGACCAAGCAACACAAAAACAUGGGAGAAAACAUCUGGAUAAGAGAAAAAGAACUCCAUCCAUAUCUAGCAUGUCAAAUCGAAACUAGAAUACUAGAUUGAGCAGGCAACAAAGUAACAACCGAGUGGCUAUCUCACCUAAUCGGUCGAAGCAAGCUUUGCUACUAAUUGUUAUCAAGGCCCACGCUAUCACCAAUUUCACCAUGAGUAGCGUAAGCGCUGGCUGCAGCGACCUCUCAACGCUGCAGUCCUACUCACGAACACAACAGGAACCCAACACCGAAGAAGUGAAGAUGGUGGUCAUUCGCAUAUUAGUGUGAGCACAAGAUAGUAGCAUUUUGUCACACCGUCCAUUUGGAAACUAAUUAACUGUGCAUAUGCUAUGUUAUGAACCCCUGGGUUCAUUUCUUAAAUGCCAAUGGAUUAAACUAGCUAGUCUAGAGACCUAGAGAUCUACUCCUAUAUGGAUUGAUUUGAGUUUGGAAUCUGGAGGAGCGUCACAUGGUGCCACAUGCUUGUUUCUCGGAUGAACAAAAAGAUUCGCUGUGGCUCGAGCGGAACGAGGAGGAUAACCACGGGUUUAGUUUGAAAUAUAACUACUGUCAAUUAAUGUUAGUAUUGUAUUAUAGCAUAUUGUACUGUAAUAUCAAAUAAUAUGAAUUAGUAUAUUGCGAAUAUGUUUGCUUGUAGUUUGUUUUAUUUGAUAACGAUAUAUCUUUAUAAAUAUAGCUAUAUGGCGGUGGUUGUUUUAAUCACAACACUUAGAUAUAUACAUGUAUACUUAUACACAAAAGAAAUCUAUAAAUAUAGUGAUAGUUGGAAAAUGUUAUAAAAAUAUAUAUAGAGGAGUGUGAUAUGAAAAACGUGGUAAAGGUCUGAUGACUGAUGGAGGGGGAGAGGCCAUCCAAAUGGAAUAUAGUGGUAUUAAUUUGGGUUAAUUAGAUCCAUGCCAUCACAAAUAUAUCGAUUUAAAAAAAUACCACUACAAUCCAUCUAUUUAUAAUCGUGCCAUUAAAAUUUUACAAAAUUGAAAAUCAUGCCACAGUCAUCACGUUUUCUAUCCAUUUCAUUUUUUUUCCGUUUUCUUCUUCUUCCUCCCGUCUUCUUCCCGGUGUGCCAUCUGUCUCGUCAUCGUCAUGGUCGACUUGCUCACCGAAGAAGGGGCGGCAAUCCUCCACGGCGGCGGCCUGCAAGGACACAGCCACCGGCUCCAGCGGCUCCCGUGGGGGUUCCGCGGCAGCUUGACGUAGAAGAGGGCCGGGAGCCGAAGUAGAUGAGCGCGAGGAGAUCCUCGACGGAUGAAUCAGCGCCAGAGGAGGAGGGCACAGCGACGGAUGGGGGAAGGGGCAACCCAGGAACCCAGGAGGAGUGCUCCUCGGCAAGGGCGUCGGCGAGCGGGGCACGCAUCCGCUCCGCACGAGCACGAGCACUACAAGCUGCACCGCAUGACGGUCGUCUCGUUCCCCCGCUCCAAACCCUGCCACCACCAGCUACUCCUCCGGCCGUGCAAGUCGACGUCCUUCUUCUCAUUUCACUUCUCUCUUCUCUCAUACUGUAUGUUUGGAUCCAAUCCCCUCAGCCCACCAGAUCCUUACGCAUUCAUCCAUCCAUCCCUACUUUUUUUGCCUGAAAAGAUUGGAGACCAUGUUCUUGGAUUCCAGGAUCGAAUCCGUGGAAGCAACAAAUAAAAAUCACAUAUAUAUUUUUCUUUGCUUGGUCCUGAGUUUUGUUUGGUUCCUUCCUGCUUGGUUUCUUCCUCACCGUCGUUGACGCCCACCACAAGGAGCCGCCUCACCUUGGUGAGCGCGGUGGCGGCCAUGGUGACGAUGAACAGCACCCGGGAAAAAGGGAAGAAAGAAAAGGAAAGAGGAAGAAGACAAAGACGGGACGAAGAAGAAGAAAACAGGAAGAAGAAGAGAUGGAUGGAAAACGUGACGGCAGUGGCACUGUUCCAAUUUUAUAAAAUUUGAAUGACACGGCUACGAAUAGACGAAUUGUAGUGGUAUUUUUCUGAAUCGACAUAUUUGUGAUGGCAUGGAUCUAAUUAACCCUUUUUUUAUUUGUUUUUAUUUUGAUUGAUGCUGCAAUGCAAGUCGGUGUUGUGGAUUUGAAUCCGAUGCAUUUGUGUUCAUGUAUAGAUUGUGUUGAUGAAUGGAUGUUUGUGAUUGUCUUUUGUUGAAUGAAUAAGAAUUUUUUAUUUGUGGGUGAAACCCGAGGGCGGGCUGGUUUGGCGGCGAAAAUUAUUUUUUAGCGCUGAAACUAUUUUCACAGGCGGGGCUGCUGUUGCGUGGGAAAAUUGAAUUUCUGCAUGUGAAAAUGAUUUUCGCGGGUGGUGCUUGGUCCGUCUGGAAAAAUUAAUGAUUUUUACGUGCGGAUGGUUUGGCCGCCCGCGAAAACAUGUUUUGGCCGCCCGUAAAAAAUAGUUUUUCUAGUAGAGUCUGUCAACCCAUCCAUCAGCGCAACCCGGGGCGCUGCAUCACGGCGGCCGGCGAAGUGCCAGACUGCCAGCCCUUAGAUAAUUGGACGGCGCCAAGCUCCUGCCGCCGAGGCGCGUGCACCACAGGUAUAGGCGCGGCGCGGCCAGCUUCAUCGCGCAAACCACACCCUCUGCGGCCACCCGCACUGCCACCGCCUCAUCCGUCCACUGCUUCAGCGACGGCCACUUGGUACAUAUGCGCUAGCGCCAUCACCAGAUUCCAAACAGAAACAAAGCAAAGUUCAGAAACUCCACGCCUAAAAAUAGAAAAAAGCAUCAAGAGGUAUCUAGUGUCGACCGUUGCUUAAUCCUUUGUUCAUGCUCCCGUCUGUGAAAACAAGGAGCAUGUUGAUUGUCUGAUUCUAAUGCUUGAUGGCAGGGAGAACAUCAAGUGCUUGCGAUUUUCCACUAGUUCGUUAGAGAGGUUUUUCCCUGUGUGCCAUUAAAAAAGAUGAUGCCUUCCUCUGUGCCACUAAAAAGUUCGAGCCUCCCUCCAUACCAUCGUCGAAUUUUAUCGCGCCCUCCACACCAUUCCAUCCGUUUUUGUUGUAACGGUGGGUAACGGCGCAGCCAAAUAACUUAAUUGCCCUUAGGCAUCCUAGCACUCUCCUCUCUCCCCUCAAAUGCAACAGCAGCAAAGGAGUGAGAAGGCGAGCCAGCGCCUGGGGACGGACGCGGCCGACGUGGGCUCCUGCAGGGCGAAGCGCAGUUCGCCACCGCUGCCGGCACUGGGGAGAAGACGGCGGCGUGGCGACAACGACGGCGGCGGCCACGGGUAGGAGGAAUACGAGCAGUUCGGCGGCAGGGUGGGGCGCGUUGUGUGGCGAAGGGAAGGUGUCGGGGUUCCCAACGACGAUGCGGGCGUAGGAAAGGAUGAGGCCGCGGAGGUGCGCGAUGGAGGCGGCGAGGUGCGCGCGGAGGGCGGCGUCGCGGAUGGUGGAGAUCUUGCAGGCCUUGUCGGCGGCGUGGCGGAAGGAGGAGGCGAGGUAGGCAAAGGGGGAGGGGUUGCCGGCGGGUUGGUCCGAGAGGGAGAGGCGGUCGAUGAGGAGGAUCUUGCGCGUGAUGAUGUCCUCCACCUCGUCGGGCGUCCGCUGCGGCCACGCUGCCGGGGACGGCGACGCCAUCGCCGGUGAUGCGGCGCGAGGGUUGUUGCUUCGACUUCGUCUUGUAGUUGGGCGGCAGCGUUGCAACGACGACGAUGACCAGCACGCCAUCAGGGCUGAGGCGGAGGUUGUCAGCGGGAGGCCACUGUCCUCCUCGCUGCUCGUGUUGUGUCAGCAGCGGAGGCAGAGCCGCCACCGCAACGUGGACGGGUUCGCGGAUCCGCGGCAUGGCGAAGCUGGAGGAGCUGUUCGCUCGGCUCGGCGGAGACGGCGGUGACGAGGGAAGGGGAGGCCGGCGUGGUGGCGCGGGCGUCCAGCGGCUCGGCCACACUCGGCUGGGUGUCGGCCGGUGGAGAGAGGGGAAUCGAGGGAGAAGAGAGAAUGAAAGGGCAAGAGCGAUAUUUUUCCUGCCCGGGCCCACAUGACAGAGUUGCCAAACGGUAACCCAAAAAGAAUAGCGACGGAGCGACGGAAUGGUGUGGAGGGCACCAUAAAGUUCGACGAUGACAUAGAGGGAGGCUCGAACUUUUUAGUGGCACAGAGGAAGGCACCAUCUUUUUUAAUGGCAAAUAAGGGAAAAACCUCUUCGUUAGAUCCUGCUCAUAACACCUCGUAAUCCUAAUUGCAGUUAAGACCUUGAUUCCGUCAGUCACGCACGCGUAUCGGUAGCGCCUUGCCAGGCGGCCGCACGUCGCUGCCAGGCCGACGCCGUCGCCUCCACCCUCGGGCGUCGUCCCUGCAAAUCACAGGAGGAGACCCUGAAGAGAGAUGGAAAACGAAGAAGUCAGAGGAUUUAACGCCACGGUUUGGGGGCAAUUUGAUGCCACGGUUUGAGGGCAGUUUGAUGCCCACGGUUAGGGUUAACGGAGGAUUUAUCAGAAAUCGUGACAGAGUGGCAUGUUUCUAAUUUUUAAAAGGUUCAGUGGCAUCCACCCGAUUUCAUGAAUACUAUUAGUAAAUUUUUAAUUGGGUAAAUUUACAAUGGCAUGGAUCCAAUUAACCCAUAAAAAAACACAAUCAUCGUAGGGUGCAGCUCCGUCACCGCCGGCCUUCUCCCUGCUGCCCUUUACUGCUACAAAUGGGAGGGCCAUGCCGCCGCCGCCGGCGGCCUCCCCCCUCCGGGCCGAUCAGAGAGGAAAGAGGGAGGAAGGGAGGGGACGACCACACCAGGGAGGGAGGGUGAUCUGCCGCCGGCUCUCAUCAUCGGUGCCGUCCCUCGUCGCUGAGCAGCCGCCUCAGGCCCUCCUUGCCUCGCCGAGCCGCCACCGCUAGCUCCACCUUGCCGAGCCGCCUCCGUCAGACCUCCUCAUCGGCGCUGACCCUCAUUGCCGAGCCUCGCCAAGCCGCCGCCGGACCUCCCCGUCGAACCGCCGCCGCCGCCGGCCCUCCCCGCCGAGCCGCCACCACCGCCGGACCACCUCCUCCUCGCCUAGCCGUCGCCGGCCCUCCCCCCCCCCCCCCCCGAACCGCCGCCGCCGCCGGACCUUCUCCUCCUCACCCAGCCGAGCCGACCUCGCGCGCUGGCUCUCCUUGCAGGCUCCGAGGAGAGGGAGGGGGAGAGAGAGAGAGGGGAGGGGAGGAUAAGGUUUGAGUGGUGGCCUGGUGGGGGGAGUCGGGGAGACGGGAUAUGUGGUGCUCUUAUGAAUGACAUAUUUAUUGUAGUUGAACAUGCCCUCAGUGACCGUUUGUCGUUUGGAAGGGAAAGACGAAGUGCUAAUUGGGAAAAUUAUAAAAACCAUCCAUUAUAUCACCUCGAGUUUGGGAUUACCCCUAUAAAAUGCUUUUCACAAAUAUCUCCCUCCUAAUUUACCUUGGUUUGAUAUUCUGGAAAUGAAUCAAUAAUCUAAGAUUAGCCGAUUAUUCUACAGUUUCUGUGUUUGCUGCCAAAACAGCUAACAACUGAUGAACAAGAAAAGUUAUUAUGGUUCAAAUACUCAACAGCACCUGCUGAUCGUCAAUUAAUUGUUACUGGACUCAUUUUUCCCACCUAUUUGAUACUGACUGGAUGUCAAUUAAUUGUUACUGGACGUCAGUGUUGUGGAAUCUUUAUUACUAGUAUUUUCUUCCAUCGUGCUAGACUUUGAUGAAGUGUUUUUACUGGAUGUCAAUUCUUGACAGCCAAAUGUUAUCCUAAGUCCCAACUAAUCUUAACUCUCCCAAGUAAAUGCAAGAAAACAUCAAAGCACUUACAAAUUUAACUACAAUCUUCCAGCCUUUGUUGUGAAUUGUGAUAGAUUCUCACAAAAAUAAUUUGAACAGACGGGAUCUUAUAGAAAAACAUAUAGCUCACGACAGGAAUAAUAACAAUGGUGUGAAAUAGACGACAAAAGCUUUAAAACAUAGGGAAUGUUGAUCUCUUUGUGGGUUGUGACUUGAUAAUUUGCUUUUGCAAAUCUCUUGCCUUUUACUGGACGAAAGCUUGUGAUCUUUUACAAUGUCAAACCCAAUCAAAGGUGUAAAAUAAUAAGAGCCAACAAAUGUAAUAAUUCUUCAUGUUCACAAUAUAGAUAGGAAAAAAAAACAUUUAUAACCAAGUCACUGGCAUCAUAAUAUAUAUGCCUUUUUUUUUGUUGAAACAAUUCAUUGAGGUACAUACACCAAAACAAUAAUGAAUAUGAAACACUGCUAGAGCAUUAGAGAUUUGCUGCAUAAAAAUGCAGAAUCAGCACCCGUUCAUCCUCAAUCACAACUCUAAUGAACCUUACCAAUGUCAUGCAGCGCAUUCUGGGUGGCACAGACUCCUAAUAGCUCUUGCAGCUUCAAGCAGCCAAACCAGCUAUCCUUUUUUUCUUACAUGGAUAUGCACAUCGAGCUCUUGUAUAAUACAUUAAAUAUUUAAAAAAUAUAAACAUAACAUAUAGCUUAAAACAAGUGAUCUAACAAAUGCAGUGGAGAAUAUAUAUUUCAAUCCGUGGAGUAAAUACUCCAUUUCAACAAUCCCACCAUGAAUAAUAUGAAAACUAACAGGGUCUUAUAUCUUCUUGCUUGAAUUCCAAAUAACAUAGUACUGCUCUUUAUAGAGAGCCAACUAAACAACUCGAUUCUAAUUUCAUGGAAUGGAAACAACCAAAACAACUGGUAGAUAGAUAGAUAGAUAGAUAAGCCGAUAAUUUCACCCACUCUGUUGCAUCGCCUAUUGUUCGUGUGCUCCCUUGUUGGGCUUACGAUGAUAGAUUGCAGGUGAUACUGAACGACCAUAAUUACAUGAUGAGUAAGACACCUGCAACAAGAAGUUAGUUUUUAUUAAAUCUACCAUUGAAUAUAUUUUUAUUGUAUUUUACUUUGCUUUGAAAAUGUUGUUAUUUGAUCAAACUUGAAUAAGUUUGAUUUAGGAAAAACCCUUCAUCGAUUUGUAGUGUGAAAAGGAGUACAAGGUAAAAAAAAGUCUCAAUUGAAUGAUUAUUUGUGUUGUACAGAUAAAGAAAACCAGGCAAAUAUCUAACCAUGCAAAUAUGCAGAAAUUUGGCUAGUUGGAAAUUAACUUGGAGUGACCCACGCAUAUAAGCAUUAUUUAGAGAUGCACUUGAUACUGCAGUGGUAAGAGGUGUGUGGUUUCAACCCUGAGAUCACGUGUUCAAUCCCUAACAUGCUCGUAAUUUGUUCAAAAAAAAACUUUGGAAGGAUGUUUCUCCCUCCAAAUCUUGUUUUUAUUAAUAUAAGCAUUAUUUACAAUGAGAUGUCAAAUUACGUAACAUAGUUGACACUUGACUGCAAUGGCAUAAAAGAAAUCAUCUCAAUAUAACAAUUCUCUUACGUAACGAUAUAGGGGGAGGGGAAAAAAGGAAUGUAUAACUAGGAGUAAGAAGUUGAUUGCACGCUGAUAUGCUAAAGUUCAUAAAGAGUUUUUUGGGUUUUUUUUAAGAUAAUGAAUAACCUGGCAGCUGCAUCAAAGACGUACAUAGGCUAUCAUGCAUUACUGUACGCCAAGCAAAGAUAGAAAAAAAUAACGUUCAUAAAGAUACAUCAUAUUAAACGUUGAGUGGGAGGCUUGGUGGACCUAGCAUUAUAUAAUGGCUAGUACAUGAAAAAAAAGGUUGUUGAUUAGGGGAAGAAAUCAGCUAAGUACCUGAGUUAGUUCAUCACCAUCGUAUUUCGAGCGCUGCUUGAUUAGGAUAGUCCUUAAGUGCCUCUCUAACAACAGCCUUGCUGCUUGAAUAAAUGGUUGCAUGCCGAAGGGAGUGGAGAUUCUCCAAACCUAAAUCAUUUAAGCCACCCCUCCUUAGGCUGGUCCAAAUACGAAGAUAAAGCCUUUCAAGGUGGGGCAUAGCUCCUGGUUGAAACGAUGGCAUCAUGGGGCUAUAAAAGUGAAAAUCUUUUAAACUCCGAAAUACACAUGCACCUCUGUGGAUAGUGAGCUUUUCCUAUAGUUGUUCCGAAACAAAUGCUAACUGUAGCCUGAGAAAGCGAAGAGAUGGAAGCUCAGCGAGGCGAUCAAGGUGGUCAGACUGGAGAUAUUCAAAACACAGCCAAAUGGAUAAGGUGGUGAGGCGGGAGAGCAUCGACGAAUUGAUCCAACAUGGGAAUGCUUUCAUAUACGAAUGGUGCAUGAACAACCUUUGGAGACCAGAAGGAACCUGUUGCAUGUCUAUGAUUUCUUCAAAACUAUUAUUAUUUCUCAAAUCUAGGUCUUGCAAAUUGGUGAACCUUUGUAUAGACGUUUGAAUGGAUUCCUUUAACUCAAAUGUUUUUUCACUACUGAAAACGAUCCUAAGAGUCCUUAGCUCCGUCAAAUUGCCAAUCUCUUUUAUUACCUUUCGGGUAGCUUCUAUUACAAGCUCCUGUAAAGAUUUCAUAUCCCCCAGCAUCAGACCUUGUGCCAGCUUCACUCUGCCAGCAUAUAGCCGCAACAGUUUCCUUAGUUUGGCAAAAGACAUUGGAAACAGUACCUUAUGAGAUUUAAAAGAACUUGGUUUACGUGCACCUCUUAUGUCCAAGGUUUCGAGAGAUUCCAGUUUCCCAAUGCUUUCAGGGAGCUCAGUGGCACCAUAGUGCCCUAGACGCAGAAAUCUUAGGAGGAGUAGCUUAUCGAGAUGAUUAAGAUGGUUCUUGUCCAUUCCACUGCAGUCCUCAAGCUGCAACACACGCAGGACAUGAAAGCUCGACAAGGGUGGUAUCGAGUCGACCUUGCCGAAGAUAGUAAUCGACCUUACUUUGGACAAUUGUUCUCUUGCUUCUGGCGAGGCAUAGGACUUAUUGCUGUUAUGGAGAGAUAAUCGGCGAAUCUUCUUCUUUUGUGCUGUACAUGUAUGUUUACCUGUUUGUUGACCAUCAGAUAAAUACGUUGUAACAAAAUCUUCUUCUACUGACAGCUGAUUUAUUAGCUCAAGCACCAUGUCAUGUACUUUGCAUGCAUGCACCUUACCAUCUUCAUCCCAAAGAGUGUUCUCACUCAUUGGCUGGAUCAAGCUUCGAUUGAUGAGCUCGUUGAAGUAGCUCUCGCCAAUCUCCUGCAAGCUUGUCCCUGCAGGUCGUGUUUCAUCUGUAAUAAAACCCUCUGCUAACCAACUCCAUAUCAAAACAUAUUUUCUAAUUAGCUCAUCCUCAGUAUAUUUGCUUAGAGACAACAAGCAAGUCUUCAAAUGAAAAGGUAGAUCGCUGUAACUGAGGCUUAAUAUCUUCCGCAUGUUGUCCACAUCAAGGUUGUUCUCAAGCCCCAAACUGAUAGACUUAUUGACCUUGUCCCAUUCCUCUGAAUUCCUUGGUUUGCUAGCAAGUAGGCAUGCUGUAGUGAUGAUUGCUAGCGGUACACCACCACAUUUCUUCAAAAUUUUCUCAGUGACACCACACAAAUCAGCAGGACAGUCAUCGUUAGAGUCAAAUAUUCGUUUGCAGAACAAUUGUCUGGAAUCAUCAUCAGAUAAGGGUUUCAUUUCAUAAACACCACCGCCUGCAUGUUCUGCAAUGACCUUGUUUCGCGUGGUUACAAUUAUUUUGCUACCAAGUUUAGCAUCUUGCACAGCAAGUUUGAUAGUAUCCCACGCUGAUUUUUUCCAUACAUCAUCAAUCACGCACAAGAACCUAAAGAUGGUAGCAUAUACACAUGUUAUUGAACCUAGAUAUAAAUCAUGUGAAGCCUGUCCAAAAAAGAUAGGAAUAUGUAUCUUGCACAUUGAAUGUCGAAAAUGAUGUGCAGCUUUAAAUGUGUAAUUUUCCAACAAUUUUGACACAAUAAGUGCAGCUUUGUGAAUUUCUAUUCACAAAGUUACAAAGAUACUUAAUUAUGCGUAAAUAGGGCAGAUUUCUGAAUAACUAUGUGUUCCAUUGGAAAACCAAAACUUUAUUUACAAGCCAGUUAUAUUAUAAUAGUAUAAAAACUUGAGCUAGGAUUCCCGGUUAUAUUAGAAUACAAUAAAAACUUGAGCCAGGACUCUUAUUUGUACAACAAAAGGUAUCUUCAAAUAAUGAUAAAAGGUAGGUAUAACAUAGAAAUGUACCUUCUAUUGUUGAGGAAGUCUCUAAUUUUGUCGAUGAGCUGCUUCGUUUCCCAUGUUUCAUCUAUGUGGGAAUACAUUUUCUCAUCAAGUUGGAGAAGAAUGUUCUUGAGAAUCUUGUUUAUAUCAGGAUUCAAGGACACCGAAACAAAACAAUAGCUGUCAAAUUUUGCCUUAAGCUCCUGAAAUAAUGAAUUGGCAAGAGUUGUCUUUCCUAAGCCUCCGAAUCCAACAAUAGAAAUUAUAUUUGAUUGUUGGCUGGAUGAGCCGUCAUAUUCCAAGAGUUGCUUAGUUAGCUCAUUUUUUGGCUUGCUAAUGCCAAUGAGUUUUGUUGCCUUUCGGUACAUAGCUUCUAGGCGAGAAUCAACAUCCACAACAGUUGGCCUGGCAGCGAUGUCAUCGACUCUGCACCUGUCACGACGCUCGCUGACCUUCUUGACCUGGUCCAUGAUGUCUUUGAUGACACCGUGGAUCUGAUGGUUAGUUUUGAACUUGUUGAACAAAUUGGUGACCUUCUUGAAGCUCGUGGCAGGUUCAUGCCCCUUGCACUUUAACAUGAAGGUGUCGAUGGCAUCCUCGAUGUCGUAAGAUAGCUCUCUCACCUCGCUGGCCCAGAUCUUGACCUGCUGGUCAAGUUGAUCCACAGGUGUCUCAGCCACCUUGUGGAGUGCUGCGGUCAUACCUUUCAACUCUUUCUCAAGUUCUUCGAUCUCUCCCUUGACACCCUUUUGCAGCUUGUAUUCGCCAACCAGCAGCUCCCCAAGCUUGGGGAGGAGGGUGUUCAUUGCCCCAGUGGCGAUGUUCAUCUUGGCCUAUCUGAUGUUGAAUGCCUGCACGGGUAUACACAGAUGCACUUAAAUGAGCCUCUUGAGUUUAUCAGUAUGUAUCAGGAUUCAGGAAUGAUCAAGCAACCGCAAAAACAUGGAGAAAAACGACAUCUGAAUAAUUAAGCUGCUAUGUAGCAUGUCAAAUCGAGACUAGAUUGAGGUAACAACCGUGUGCUGCAUCACCUAAUCGAUCCAAGCAAAGCUCAUCACCGUGAGCAGCGCAAGAUAGCGACCUCUCAACGCUAUACGGUAUACUAGUAACAGGAAGGACCAAGCAACGACGCCCAAACACACAUGGAGAAAAUCAGCAUCUGGAUCAACGGGGCGUACCGGAAUUGGAGGGUCGGGACAGUGGAUGCGGUCGUCGUCGCCGCUGGCUCCGCUCCGAUCCGCCCCUUGGCCGCGCCGCCCCCGAUCGAUCGAUGCCGUGGUGGAGUCCGGUCUUAUCGAAGCGGCUGGCGGCGAGUAGAGGAGCUCGCUCGGGUCAACGGGUGGGAGACGGAGUGCUCCAGCGCAUGGUAGUGGAGGAAAUGAUAAAACUAGCUGUGCGCCUGUGCCCCCGCGCAUCGCGGAUCAUGCCUAUAGAUCCUUAAUCAUAAAAGAAAAAAAAUAAAAAAAAUAAAAAUUAACAUGAUUGUAAACAACAUCAGUGGCGGAUCAAAGAAAAUCGGUUCGUUGGUGUCAUAACGUGUCUAGCUAUCGGUAUCGGUGUCAUAGUAUACUAAUUAUGCUUAGAUUAUGGUGUUAUAAUGUAUGGAUAAGCAGUUUUACUAUAGGUUGGUUUUGCCAAAAGUCGUCAGUGUCGCCUGACACCGACGCAUAUACUAUAGAUCCGCCCCUAAACAACAUAGCUUGCAACAACGCUAUAGAAUAAUAACUCGAUCAGAAAGAGAAUAUCACAUAGAAGGGCAUGCAGCCCAGUGGUUGUAGUGACACCCUAAGGUCCUGAGUUAAGUCUUCAUAGGAGCGAAUUUUAGAUUGGAUUAUUUGAGGGCUAAGUUUCUAAUUUAAAAUUGGAUUAUUUGAUGGCUAAGUUCCUAAUUUAAAACGGCUACAUAUACCCCGGUUGGAUGUUGAGGCCGCCAGUUGGAUCUAAUUUAAAAUUGGAUUAUUUGAGGGCUAUGUUCCUAUGUUGAGGCCGGGUAAAAAAUAUCCUUCUCCCGGGUAAAAAAAUAUCCUUCUCCCUUUGAGGGCUAAGUUCCUAUGUUGAGACCGGGUAAAAAAUAUCCUUAAAAUAUCCCAGUUGGAUGUUGAGGCCGGGUAAAAAAUAUCCUUCUUCCGGGUAAAAUCCCGAAAAAGGGUAUCCUUCUCCCGAGUAAAAAAUACCAUUCUCCUGAAAAAAAAAUCCUUCUCCCGAGUAAAAAAUAUCAUUCUCCCGAUUGGAUGUUGAGGCCGGAUAAAAAAUAUCCUUCUCUAAAAAAACGAUGUUCAAUUAUAUCCUUCUCUAGAAAAACCUAGUAUGGUAAAUAUCCUUCUCUAAAAAAAACUUUGAGUGACUAGUAUACUUUUGUGGAGCACAUGGUGCUAGUACUAGUAUGGCAAAUAUCCUUCUCUAAAAAAACUUUGAGUGACUAGUAUACUUUCGUGGAGCACAUGGUGCUGGUGCUAGUAUGGCAAAUAUCCUUCUCUACAAAUUGAGUGACUAGUAUACUUUUGUGGAGCACAUCAUGCUAGUGCUAGUAUGGUAAAUAUCCUUCUCUAGAAAAAAAUGAAUUAAAGUAAAGGAUAAACAACGUAAAAUCUACUAAAAGUACCAAAAAAAUGGAAUUUCAUCAACAUCUGAAUUUUUGUAUAUAUAUUAUUUAUUUUAUUGUUUUGUAUCUAGCAAAAUUGUAGGGUAGAACGACAUAAUAGAUCCUGGCUUCUCCAUUUAAUUCGGAGAAAAGGAGGUAUUUUUGUUCAUGGAACAUUGAUAGAGAAAAAAGCCGACUAUCGGAUUUGAACCGAUGACCCUCGCAUUACAAAUGCGAUGCUCUAACCUCUGAGCUAAGUGGGCUUACAUAACAGAAAUAGUGUAACAAAUAGAAAUAUGUAUAGUAUAGGAAAUCCGUAAAUCUAAAAAAAACUUUGAGUGACUAGUAUACUUUUGUGGAGCACAUGGUGCUAGUGCUAGUAUGGCAAAUAUCCUUCUCUAAAAAUUGAGUGACUAGUAUACUUUUGUGGAGCACAUCAUGCUAGUGCUAGUAUGGUAAAUAUCCUUCUCUAGAAAAAAUGAAUUAAAGUAAAGGAUAAACAGCGUAAAAUCUACUAAAAAUACCACAAAAAAUGGAAUUUCAUCAACAUCUGAAUUUUUGUAUAUAUAUUAUUUAUUUUAUUGUUUUGUAUCUAGCAAAAUUGUAGGGUAGAACGACAUAAUAGAUCAUGGCUUCUCCAUUUAAUUCGGAGAAAAGGAGGUAUUUUUGUUCAUGGAACAUUGAUAGAGAAAAAAGCCGACUAUCGGAUUUGAACCGAUGACCCUCGCAUUACAAAUGUGAUGCUCUAACCUCUGAGCUAAGUGGGCUUACAUAACAGAAAUAGUGUAACAAAUAGAAAUAUGUAUAGUAUAGGAAAUCCGUAAAUCUAAAAAAAACUUUGAGUGACUAGUAUACUUUUGUGGAGCACAUGGUGCUAGUGCUAGUAUGGCAAAUAUCCUUCUCUAAAAAUUGAGUGACUAGUAUACUUUUGUGGAGCACAUCAUGCUAGUGCUAGUAUGGUAAAUAUCCUUCUCUAGAAAAAAUGAAUUAAAGUAAAGGAUAAACAGCGUAAAAUCUACUAAAAGUACCACAAAAAAUGGAAUUUCAUCAACAUCUGAAUUUUUGUAUAUAUAUUAUUUAUUUUAUUGUUUUGUAUCUAGCAAAAUUGUAGGGUAGAACGACAUAAUAGAUCCUGGCUUCUCCAUUUAAUUCGGAGAAAAGGAGGUAUUUUUGUUCAUGGAACAUUGAUAGAGAAAAAAGCCGACUAUCGGAUUUGAACCGAUGACCCUCGCAUUACAAAUGCGAUGCUCUAACCUCUGAGCUAAGUGGGCUUACAUAACAGAAAUAGUGUAACAAAUAGAAAUAUGUAUAGUAUAGGAAAUCCGUAAAUCUAAAAAAAACUUUGAGUGACUAGUAUACUUUUGUGGAGCACAUGGUGCUAGUGCUAGUAUGGCAAAUAUCCUUCUCUAAAAAAACUUUGAGUGACUAAUAUACUUUCGUGGAGCACAUGGUGCUAGUGCUAGUAUGGCAAAUAUCCUUCUCUAAAAAUUUAGUGACUAGUAUACUUUUGUGGAGCACAUCAUGCUAGUGCUAGUAUGGUGAGUAUUCUUCUCUAGAAAAAAAGAUGUUCUCGAUUUUGAGUGACUAGUAUACUUUUGUGGAGCACAUGGGGCUAGUGCUAGUAUGGUAGUACUGUAAAGACAACGGUAGUUGUUCAAUUAAUUGAGUGACUAGUAUACUUUUGUGGAGUACAUGGUGCUCGUGCCAGUAUGGUAGUAUUAGAGCAGGUACAAUAGCAGGCUAUAAGCCAGUUGCAAAUAUAUUUUAAGGAGUUAAAUAAGGAGAGAGAAGAGCAGCGGGCUACAGAAUUGUAGCCACCUGUAGCACGGACUCCAAGACGCAGUAUGUGUAUGACAGGUGGGACCAGAUAUUAAUAGUGUAGUAUGUAACUAUUGUAUGAAUAAGCUAUUAGAUUGGCUAUAGAUGAACUGGAGCUAGUAGUUAGCUAUACUAUUGAACUUGCUCUUAUAAAGACAAUGGUAGUCGUUCAGUUAUUCGAAGUGUUGUCGUGGUAUCCUCGCUGAAUAUGACUUUUGUAUGGACCUUGUCAUGUAAGCCGUCAGACUUAGCAUCACUUUUGCACAUAUGGCUGUUAGGCGCUUGUAUGGACCUCCUUGUGUACGACUAAGAUUUGUUAUCUAGUCAUUUGGAACUGCUUCUACAUAUGCUACAUGGGUUGCUUUGUUCUGACUCACUUCGCAACUUUGCUUUGGUUGCCCACUGGUUAUGAACUCAGGGAUUUGAUUAUUUAUUGUUGUGUUCACUUCAACUCCAAAUGUGCCAGAAAGACACAAGUUUUAUCAUGUUAUGCAUAGCUAAGCGCCAAAUAUUAUGGCGUGGAAACUGCAACAUUCAGCGCCAUAGCAUUUGGCGUGGACAUCCAGCACUACACCAAGCCAUACCUACCUGGUCGACUAAGUUAACCAGUUCAGCGCCAAAUACCUCGGCGCUGACCUUAGCCACAACAGCGCCGAGUCGGAUGGUGCUGAGCUUUGACACACUGGCACCAUCCACGGUGUCACGACAUUCAGCGCCGUUACAUUUGGCGCUGAACCUCCGGGUUAUUUUUGAAAUAAGUUUUGGCCGCGAUUCAUUUACGAAAUAAGUUUUUGCAAAGGGUCAAAUUGUCAAAAAUUUUGCAUGGUGCAGAGGCGUAGUCCUCGCGCGCGUAGAGAGGCUGUAUUCACGUGGAUGGAUCAUGCGGUGGUUAAAUCAUGCGCGCGGAUGGACGGUAAUGAUUGGUCCAGAUGAUUUGGCCGGUAGGAUUGGAGAGGGAUAACUCCUCUUUUUUAUAUUAGUAUAGAUAUAGAUAUAGAUAUAGUUAUAGAUAUAGAUAUAGAUAUAGAUAUAGAUGUAUGGGACCAUAAUAUUUUUAUAAUCAGUGUUACACUAACAGCGGGUAUCUCGGCUCAUAGUACAAUUUCGUAUUUCAAUGCCUAGCUGUACCCCGGAAGACCUGGGGCGAUGAUUAAUUAAUUUGUAAGCAUAGUCAAACAAAACCGUGUCAGCACAUCACAGGUGGUAAUUGCAACUUAUAUGGUACAUAUUUUUACUAAGCAGCUAUACUAAAUUGGCCGGCCAUGAAAAAAAAAAACAAAUAGAAAUCAAGGUUUACUGCUCCAUGAUCCAGAACCUAUGAAUUUGUAUCCAGUUCUGUAGAUAUGAGAGUUCAAUAUUCUUGUCAGCUUGUCAUUAAUAUAAUUAGCAUCAAUCUACAUUAGCCACCAUCUUUGCAAAAAUCAUCUUUGCAGACAGCGUAUAUAAGGCCCCGCUUGCAAUAAUCGCAGGUGGUCGCCUUACGUGCGCCAACUGCAAAGAUACUUUUUUUUUUGCAGGUGGCUCCUUAUGUACUCCACCUGCCAAAAUAGUAGUACUCCCAUCGUUCCUAAAUAUUUGACGUCGUUAACUUUUUUAAACAUAUUUGACCGUUCGUCUUAUUCAAAACAUUUAAGUAAUUAUUAAUUAUUUUCCUAUGAUUUGAUUUAUUGUUAAAUAUACUUUUAUGUAUACAUAUAGUUUUACAUAUUUCACAAAAGUUUUUAAAUAAGACGAACGGUCAAACAUAUUUUAAAAAGUUGACGGCGUCAAAUAUUUAGGGAUGGAGUAUAUAGUUAUCUUCUUCCCCGAGCUCUAUUCAUUUCAUCCGAGAUUUCUUUCUCCUAUAACAACCAAAAUAUAGGGGGGAGAUUUUGAACUUCAAAUCUUCGGGGAUUUUUAUACAGUGGUUAGAUCUACACCUUUCUACUCUUGUUAUGCAUUUUUUUAAUAAUUUUAAACCUUUUCUUUAAUUAUGAUAGAUCUAUGCAUAAAAAUGCAGAAUCAGCACCCGUUCAUCCUCAAUCAGAACUCUAAUGAACCUUACCAAUGUUAUGCAGCGCAUUCUGGGUGGCACAGACUCCUAAUAGCUCUUGCAGCUUCAAGCAGCCGAACCAGCUAUCCCUUUUUUCUUACAAGGAUAUGCACAUCGAGCUCUUGUAUAAUACAUUAAAUAUUUAAAAAAUAUAAACUUUACAUAUAGCUUAAAACAAGUGAUCUAACAAAUGCAGUGGAGAAUAUAUAUUUCAAUCCGUGGAGUAAAUAAUCCAUUUCAACAAUCCCACCAUGAAUAAUAUGAAAACUAACAGGGUCUUAUAUCUUCUUCCUUGAAUUCCAAAUAACAUAGUACUGCUCUUUAUAGAGAGCCAACUAAACAACUCGAUUCUAAUUUCAUGGAAUGGAAACAACCAAAACAACUGGUAGAUAGAUAGAUAGAUAAGCCGAUAAUUUCACCCACUCUGUUGCAUCGCCUAUUGUUCGUGCGCUCCCUUGUUGGGCUUACGAUGAUAGAUUGCAGGUGAUACUGAACGACCAUAAUUACAUGACGAGUAAGACACCUGCAACAACAAGUUAGUUUUUAUUAAAUCUACCAUUGAAUAUAUUUUUAUUGUAUUUUACUUUGCUUUGGAAAUGUUGUUAUUUGAUCAAACUUGAAUAAGUUUGAUUUAGGAAAAACCCUUCAUCGAUUUGUAGUGUGAAAAGGAGUACAAGGUAAAAAAAAAAGUCUCAAUUGAAUGAUUAUUUGUGUUGUACAGAUAAAAAAACCAGGCAAAUAUCUAACCAUGCAAAUAUGCAGAAAUUUGGCUAGUUGGAAAUUAACUUGGAGUGACCCACGCAUAUAAGCAUUAUUUAGAGAUGCACUUGAUACUGCAGUGGUAAGAUGUGUGUGGUUUCAACCCUGAGAUCACGUGUUCAAUCCCCAACAUGCUCGUAAUUUCUCAAUAUAACAAUUCUCUUACGUAACAUAGUUGACACUUGACUGCAAUGGCAUAAAAGAAAUCAUCUCAAUAUAACAAUUCUCUUACGUAACGAUAUAGGGGGAGGGGAAAAAAGGAAUGUAUAACUAGGAGUAAGAAGUUGAUUGCACGCUGAUAUGCUAAAGUUCAUAAAGAGUUUUUUGGGUUUUUUUUAAGAUAAUGAAUAACCUGGCAGCUGCAUCAAAGACGUACAUAGGCUAUCAUGCAUUACUGUACGCCAAGCAAAGAUAGAAAAAAAUAACGUUCAUAAAGAUACAUCAUAUUAAACGUUGAGUGGGAGGCUUGGUGGACCUAGCAUUAUAUAACAGCUAGUGCAUGAAAAAGAAGGUUGUUGAUUAGGGGAAGAAAUCAGCUAAGUACCUGAAUUAGUUCACCGUAAUAGUAAUUCGAGCGCUGCUUGAUUUGGAUAGUCCUUAAGUGCCUCUUCAAUAACAGCCGUGUUCUCACCCAUGUAAUCAAUGGUUACAUGCCGAAGGGAGUGGAGGUUCUCCAAACCUAAAUCAUUUAAGUCACCCCUCCUUAGUCUGGUCCCAAUACGAAGACAAAGCCUUUCAAGGUGGGGCAUAGCUCCUGGUUGAAACGACGGCAUCAUGCAGCUAUAAAAGUGAAAAUCUUUUAAACUCCGAAAUGCACAUGCACCUCUGUGGAUAGUGAGCUUUUCCUGCAGUUGUUCCGAAACAAAUGCUAACUGUAGCCUGAGAAAGCGAAGAGAUGGAAGCUCAGCGAGGCGAUCAAGGUGGUCAGACUGGAGAUAUUCGAAAUCCAGACAAAUGGAUAAGGUGGUGAGGCGGGAGAGCAUCGACGAAUUGAUCCAACAUGGGAAUGCUUUCAUAUACGAAUGGUGCAUGAACAACCUUUGGAGACCGAAAGGAACCUGUUGCAUGUCUAUGAUUUCUUCAAAAUUAAAAUUAUUUCUCAAAUCUAGGUCUUGCAAAUUGGUGAACCUUUGUAUAGACGUUUGAAUGGAUUCCUUUAACUCUAAUGUUUUGACACUAUUGAAAACGAUCCUAAGAGUCCUUAGCUCUGUCAAAUUACCAAUCUCUUUUAUUACCUUUCAGGUAGCUUCUAUUACAAGCUCCUGUAAAGAUUUCAUAUCCCUUAGCAUCAGACCUUGUGCCAGCUUCACUCUGCCAGCAUAUAGCCGCAAUAGUUUCCUUAGUUUGACAAAAGACAUUGGAAACAGCACCUUAUGAGAUUUUGAAGAAUUUGGUUUCCUUGCACCUCUUAUGUCCAAGGUUUCGAGAGAUUCCAGUUUCCCAAUGCUUUCAGGGAGCUUAGUGGCACUAUAGUGCCCUAGACGCAGAAAUCUUAGGAGGCGUAGCUUAUCGAGAUGAUUAAGAUGGUUCUUGUCCAUUCCACUGCAGUCCUCAAGCUGCAACACACGCAGGACAUGAAAGCUCGACAAGGGUGGUAUCGAGUCGACCUUGCCGAAGAUAGUAAUGGACCUUACUUUGGACAAUUGUUCUCUUGCUUCUGGUGAGGCAUAGGACUUAUUGCUGUUAUGGAGAGAUAAUCGGCGAAUCUUCUUCUUUUGUGCUGUACAUGUAUGUUUACCUGUUUGUUGACCAUCUGAUAAAUACGUUGUAACAAAAUCUUCUUCUACUGACAGCUGAUUUAUUAGCUCAAGCACCAUGUCAUGUACUUUGCAUUGAUGCACCUUACCAUCAUCCAACAGAUAAUAGACACUCAUCGGCUGGAUCAAGCUUCGAUUGAUGAGCUCGCUGAAGUAGCUCUCUCCAAUCUCCUGCAAGCUUGUCCCUGCAGGUCGUGUUUCAUCUGUAAUAAAACCCUCUGCAAACCAAUCCCAUAUCAAAACAUCUUUUCUAAUUAGCUCAUCCUCAGGAUAUUUGCUUAGAGACAACAAGCAAGUCUUCAAAUGAAAAGGUAGAUCGUUGUAACUGAGGCUUAAUAUCUUCCGCAUGUUGUCCACAUCAAGGUUGUUCUCCAGCCCCAAACUGAUAGACUUAUUGACCUUGUCCCAUUCCUCUGAAUUCCUUGGUUUGCUAGCAAGUAGGCAUGCUGUAGUGAUGAUUGC